rnacentral:rRNA from 1 species
CUACGGGCCGCUGCAGUGGGGAAUAUUGCACAAUGGAGGAAACUCUGAUGCAGCAACGCCGCGUGGAGGAUGACACUUUUCGGAGCGUAAACUCCUUUUAUAUAGGAAGAAGAUGACGGUACUAUAUGAAUAAGCGCCGGCUAACUCCGUGCCAGCAGCCGCGGUAAUACGGAGGGCGCAAGCGUUACUCGGAAUCACUGGGCGUAAAGAGCGUGUAGGCGGAUUAAAAAGUCAGAAGUGAAAUCCUAUAGCUUAACUAUAGAACUGCUUCUGAAACUCUUAAUCUAGAAUAUGGGAGAGGUAGAUGGAAUUUCUGGUGUAGGGGUAAAAUCCGUAGAGAUCAGAAGGAAUACCGAUUGCGAAGGCGAUCUACUAGAACAUUAUUGACGCUGAGACGCGAGAGCGUGGGGAGCAAACAGGAUUAGAUAACCCUUGUAGUC